rnacentral:rRNA from 1 species
GACGAACGCUGGCGGCGUGCUUAACACAUGCAAGUCGAGCGGUAAGGCUCCUUCGGGAGUACACGAGCGGCGAACGGGUGAGUAACACGUGAGUAACCUGCCCCAUUCAUCGGAAUAACCAGUGGAAACGCUGGCUAAUGCCGAAUACGACCACCGAAGGCAUCUUCUGGUGGUGGAAAGCUCCGGCGGAGUGGGAUGGACUCGCGGCCUAUCAGCUUGUUGGUGAGGUAACGGCUCACCAAGGCGACGACGGGUAGCUGGCCUGAGAGGGUGACCGGCCACACUGGGACUGAGACACGGCCCAGACUCCUACGGGAGGCAGCAGUGGGGAAUAUUGGACAAUGGGCGAAAGCCUGAUCCAGCAACGCCGCGUGAGGGAUGACGGCCUUCGGGUUGUAAACCUCUUUCAGCAGGGACGAAGCGAAAGUGACGGUACCUGCAGAAGAAGGACCGGCCAACUACGUG